rnacentral:lncRNA from 1 species
UGAAAAUGCACUUAUACAAAUUGCUCUGAGAAAUAUAAGGUGGUUUGGACGAGGUCAACAAAAUAAAGUAUAUUGGACCAAAAGUGCUAAAUAAAAGGCAAAACUAUAGAAUAGAGAAAAAUAGGUGAAAACAGUCAGUAUUGGAAAACGGACUUCUAAAAUAUAAAGAAUGAAAAAAGGGCCGAGAGAAAUAAAAAAAAAAAAGAAAAAAAUGUUUUUAUAAAAAAGAAAAAAAAGUAAAAUAACAAAAAUCCCG